UCCACCCACGCCCCUCGCUCCUUCCUCCCUCACCCGCCGCCGCUCCCUCCCACCUCCUCCUCCUCCUUCUUCUGCGCCCUAGGAGCCCCGCCGCCGCCCUGCUGCUACUCCUCCACCGGCCCGCCUCUCCCUCCUCCCCGCCUUCCCAUCGCUCACGUGCAGGCCAUCAUGGCCACGCGCUUCGCGGGCGAACCCGACCGGCCCGUCGCUGUUGGCUCGAGCUGCUGGGAAGAGGGAGGAGUCCGGAGACGGCGUGAAGGCACAGGCCGUGCCUGGUGAGGCGGCGCCGCCGGCCAUGGGACGCAGGACCUCGGGGAGCCCCUUCCCAGGCCCGCGCCUAAAUUCUUGGGCAGGGGAGGAUAGAUCGACGAUGGCGCAUCACAUAAGGGAAUGGGAGAUCGAGGAGAAGGGAGACAAGGGUGGGUGGUGGCUUGCAGCAUGGGGCGGGCACGUCCAACGAUGGUGGUGUUCUGUGGAUCUGGUGCCCCCUCUCCUUUGGCGACCUCCUCCUCCUCAUCUGCUGCCGAUGGCUGUGAGUUCACGGCUGCUCCGGAGCUCCAACGAGCCAAGUUGUGUGCAAAUCCGACAAAGAAGAGAAAAGGAAGAAUAUUGAGGAAGAGUUUUGGUGAAGAAGAACAAGAGUAGCAAUGGAUUGUACAGAAAAUAGCAUACUAAAUGUUCUUGAUGAGCUGAUCAUGGACCUCGGCAAAAUUGACAAUGCUAUCAACACUCUUUGCGACGCUGGAAUAGAAAUGAAAAAUUAUAAUUUAAUUACUCUGGCAUCUACUGUGGAAGGAUCAGUUUUUAUGGCAUGGACUACAAAGGAGAGAAGUGGACCAUGUGAACGUAGUACAACAUUGUUGUUAGUUCUCGCAGUCGAGGUCUGCUCAGGAAGACACAGCUCGACCGAACAACUGUUGUGUUUUCCCAGUUGUUUGCAAAUCCGACGAAAAGGAGCAAAGAAAGAAUAUUGAGGAAUAUUUAGGUAAAGAAGAACAAGUGCAUUUAUGUUGCUUCCUGCAAGGUCAAUGAUAUGGAGCCAGUUGGAAUUCAUAUUCAAGCUAAUACAGUGACUAAAUUUGGCGAGG